UGGGCACAGGGAGUGGGACGGGGGGAGCCCUGGCAGCAGGAGCGGCCCUGUCCGUCCCUCGGGCGCGGCCGGUGUUCCAGCGGCCGGUGGUGAUGACGCCCGGAACGGCCCCAGCGCGAGGAGCCCCGCGGCUCCAGCCGCUGCCGGGCGUGCCGAGCCGCCCGCGCCCGGGUAAUCCGCCGGGCCCAGAACGCGGCGCUCGCCGCGCGUUCGUGUCACGGGCUCCGCGCGGCGUUCGCCGCUGACAUCGCUGAGGGAGCGGCUGCGGCAGGAAGCGUGUGCGCGACCAGGCACCGGGAAGCUGACUCCCAAGUAUCUGUGGAGAACCAGCUAUAUGCAGCUGCUCAAGUCCUUGCACUCAGAGAAGCCACAUUGCCAGAGCCAGAGGAGGUUCCAGCUUGCAGCCGUGUCCAGCAGAGCCUCUGGUGGCUGCCAGGAGCUCAGGUGGAUUCACAGGAGAGGCUAAAGCAAGGCCAGAUGGUGCAGGGCAGAGCUGUCAAGGUUUGCUGCUGCUGCCGAGGUGACACCCAGAGGCAGAGCUGGUCCCAGGGAAGGUGUUUUGCAGGGCAGCCUGGGUCAGACAGUUUCAGUGCUGGGAAUUUGCACUGGCUUCUCUCAGACCUGCAAAACGUUCUGGAUGGUUCUCACAUGGGUUUGUCUCUCCCUGACCCUGAAUCCAGACUGGGGAGUUGGCCAGGGCACACCUGCAGCGAUGACACCCAUCACUGGUGUCCCUGGGCCACCCAGAAUAGCCACGUGCCUGCUGCCAAAGUCACAGCAAGGUUGUAUGAGCUGGUAUCUGUAUUUCAGUGUACCUGGCAAAUGUACAAAACUCUAAAAGCCUGCAAUCUGAUCUGCACAUGGUGGAGAAGUCAAUACUCCUCCCUCCAGCGAGACCUUGGUGAGAUAGGAUAUUGUGGCUGAGUGCUGGAGCACUCCAGAGUGCAACUGUGGCAAAAUCCAAAGCUGGGGGAAGGCUGGGGGAUACAGUGGCACUAAGGCUGCAGUUUGUCUGUGCAGGGAUUGCACCACAAGGCCUUGACAAUAAUGUCAGAUGCUACAGAAAAUUUUCUGUUAAUCAGGGCAAGCAAAGCACGAAAUAAACACUGUGUUCUGACCUUU